rnacentral:rRNA from 1 species
AGGACGAACGCUGGCGGCGUGCUUAACACAUGCAAGUCGAGCGGAAAGGCCCUUCGGGGUACUCGAGCGGCGAACGGGUGAGUAACACGUGAGCAACCUGCCCUUAGCUUCGGGAUAGCUCCGGGAAACCGGAAUUAAUACCGAAUAUGAUUUUUGCUGACAUCAGCAGAAGUGGAAAGUUUUUCGGCUAGGGAUGGACUCGCGGCCUAUCAGCUAGUUGGUGAGGUAACGGCCCACCAAGGCGACGACGGGUAGCCGGCCUGAGAGGGCGACCGGCCACACUGGGACUGAGACACGGCCCAGACUCCUACGGGAGGCAGCAGUGGGGAAUAUUGCGCAAUGGGCGAAAGCCUGACGCAGCGACGCCGCGUGGGGGAUGAAUGCCUUCGGGUUGUAAACCCCUUUCAGCAGGGACGAAGCGAAGUGACGGUACCUGCAGAGAAGCGCCGGCUAACUACGUGCCAGCAGCCGC